rnacentral:rRNA from 1 species
CGAUGAUCCGGUGCUUGCACCGGGGAUUAGUGGCGAACGGGUGAGUAACACGUGAGUAACCUGCCCUUGACUCUGGGAUAAGCCUGGGAAACUGGGUCUAAUACCGGAUAUGACUCCUCAUCGCAUGGUGGGGGGUGGAAAGCUUUUGUGGUUUUGGAUGGACUCGCGGCCUAUCAGCUUGUUGGUGAGGUAAUGGCUCACCAAGGCGACGACGGGUAGCCGGCCUGAGAGGGUGACCGGCCACACUGGGACUGAGACACGGCCCAGACUCCUACGGGAGGCAGCAGUGGGGAAUAUUGCACAAUGGGCGCAAGCCUGAUGCAGCGACGCCGCGUGAGGGAUGACGGCCUUCGGGUUGUAAACCUCUUUCAGUAGGGAAGAAGCGAAAGUGACGGUACCUGCAGAAGAAGCGCCGGCUAACUACGUGCCAGCAGCCGCGGUAAUACGUAGGGCGCAAGCGUUAUCCGGAAUUAUUGGGCGUAAAGAGCUCGUAGGCGGUUUGUCGCGUCUGCCGUGAAAGUCCGGGGCUCAACUCCGGAUCUGCGGUGGGUACGGGCAGGCUAGAGUGAUGUAGGGGAGACUGGAAUUCCUGGUGUAGCGGUGAAAUGCGCAGAUAUCAGGAGGAACACCGAUGGCGAAGGCAGGUCUCUGGGCAUUAACUGACGCUGAGGAGCGAAAGCAUGGGGAGCGAACAGGAUUAGAUACCCUGGUAGUCCAUGCCGUAAACGUUGGGCACUAGGUGUGGGGGACAUUCCACGUUUUCCGCGCCGUAGCUAACGCAUUAAGUGCCCCGCCU